rnacentral:rRNA from 1 species
GGACUACAAGGGUUUCUAAUCCCGUUUGCUCCCCUGGCUUUCGCGCCUCAGCGUCAGAAGAGGUCCAGCGGGUCGCUUUCGCCACCGGCGUUCCUUCCGAUAUCAACGCAUUUCACCGCUCCACCGGAAGUUCCACCCGCCCCUACCUCGCUCGAGACAGCCAGUAUCCAAGGCUAUUUUCCGGUUAAGCCGAAAGAUUUCACCCCGGACUUGGCUGCCCGCCUACGCGCCCUUUAAGCCCAGUGAUUCCGAACAACGUUAGGACGGUUCGUCUUACCGCGGCUGCUGGCAC